CUCUGUGUAUUCCAUUUAACUUGAGUUGGAGAUUGAAAUUUCUCUUGAAACUCAAAAAUAAUGAGCUGGACCGAUGCCAGAGCACAGCAAGAUUUGAGUCAAAUCGAAAUUUGACGUUGUCCUGUUGUACGAUAUUCAAAUGAUCCAUGCUAUAUUUAAAGCUGCAGGUCUGUGUUCAAGUUGCCACAUUUGUUAUUUUGUAUUUGAUUAAUCCCCUUUUUAUAUUAAUGCGGGCAAAAAAAAGUCAUGUUUGCUUGUCGGGCUUAAUUUUUCUCAGAUGGAUUAUUUCAUGUUGAAUUAAGUAAAUCUAAUCUGACAUAUCAGAUAACCUUGCAAAAAAAAAAUUAAAAACUGGAUUUGUGA